rnacentral:rRNA from 1 species
AGUGAACGCUGGCGGUAGGCCUAACACAUGCAAGUCGAACGGCAGCACAGUAAGAGCUUGCUCUUACGGGUGGCGAGUGGCGGACGGGUGAUGAAUACAUCGGAAUCUACUUUUUCGUGGGGGAUAACGUAGGGAAACUUACGCUAAUACCGCAUACGACCUACGUGUGAAAGCAGGGGAUCUUCGGACCUUGCGCGAUUGAAUGAGCCGAUGUCGGAUUAGCUAGUUGGCGGGGUAAAGGCCCACCAAGGCGACGAUCCGUAGCUGGUCUGAGAGGAUGAUCAGCCACACUGGAACUGAGACACGGUCCAGACUCCUACGGGAGGCAGCAGUGGGGAAUAUUGGACAAUGGGCGCAAGCCUGAUCCAGCCAUACCGCGUGGGUGAAGAAGGACUUCGGGUUGUAAAGCCCUUUUGUUGGGAAAGAAAAGCAGCAGGUUAAUACCCCGCUGUUCUGACGGUACCCAAAGAAUAAGCACCGGCUAACUUCGUG